rnacentral:tRNA from 1 species
GACCACGUAGCUCAGGUGGAAGAGCAUUGGACUAGUAUCCCAAAGGUCGCAGGUUCGACUCCCACCGUGGCCA